rnacentral:rRNA from 1 species
UUGUAGAGUUUGAUUCCCCUGCUCAGAGUGAACGCUGGCGGCGUGCCUAAUACAUGCAAGUCGAACGAUGAAGCCUAGCUUGCUAGGUGGAUUAGUGGCGCACGGGUGAGUAAUGCAUAGAUAACAUGCCCUUUAGUUUGGAAUAGCCACUAGAAAUGGUGAUUAAUACCAAAUACUACCUUACGAGGGAAAGAUUUAUCGCUAAAGGAUUGGUCUAUGUCCUAUCAGCUUGUUGGUGAGGUAAAGGCUCACCAAGGCUAUGACGGGUAUCCGGCCUGAGAGGGUGAACGGACACACUGGAACUGAGACACGGUCCAGACUCCUACGGGAGGCAGCAGUAGGGAAUAUUGCUCAAUGGGGGAAACCCUGAAGCAGCAACGCCGCGUGGAGGAUGAAGGUUUUAGGAUUGUAAACUCCUUUUGUUAGAGAAGAUAAUGACGGUAUCUAACGAAUAAGCACCGGCUAACUCCGUGCCAGCAGCCGCGGUAAUACGGAGGGUGCAAGCGUUACUCGGAAUCACUGGGCGUAAAGAGUGCGUAGGCGGGAGGACAAGUCAGGUGUGAAAUCCUAUGGCUUAACCAUAGAACUGCAUUUGAAACUAUCCUUCUGGAGUGUGGGAGAGGUAGGUGGAAUUCUUGGUGUAGGGGUAAAAUCCGUAGAGAUCAAGAGGAAUACUCAUUGCGAAGGCGACCUGCUGGAACAUCACUGACGCUGAUUGCACGAAAGCGUGGGGAGCAAACAGGAUUAGAUACCCUGGUAGUCCACGCCCUAAACGAUGGAUGCUAGUUGUUGGGAGGCUUUGUCUUUCCAGUAAUGCAGCUAACGCCUUAAGCAUCCCGCCUGGGGAGUACGGUCGCAAGAUUAAAACUCAAAGGAAUAGACGGGGACCCGCACAAGCGGUGGAGCAUGUGGUUUAAUUCGAAGAUACACGAAGAACCUUACCUAGGCUUGACAUUGAAGGAAUUCCCUAGAAAUAGGGGAGUGUCUAGCUUGCUAGACCCUGAAAACAGGUGCUGCACGGCUGUCGUCAGCUCGUGUCGUGAGAUGUUGGGUUAAGUCCCGCAACGAGCGCAACCCUUUUUCUUAGUUGCUAACAGGUUAUGCUGCGCACUCUAAGAAGACUGCCUGCGUAAGCAGGAGGAAGGUGAGGACGACGUCAAGUCAUCAUGGCCCUUACGCCUAGGGCUACACACGUGCUACAAUGGGGUGCACAAAGAGAUGCAAAGCCGCGAGGCAGAGCUAAUCUAUAAAACACCUCCUAGUUCGGAUUGCAGGCUGCAACUCGCCUGCAUGAAGCUGGAAUCGCUAGUAAUCGCAAAUCAGCUAUGUUGCGGUGAAUACGUUCCCGGGUCUUGUACUCACCGCCCGUCACACCAUGGGAGUUGUGUUUGCCUUAAGUCAGGAUGCUAAAGCAGCUACUGCCCACGGCACACACAGCGACUGGGGUGAAGUCGUAACAAGGGUAGCCGUAAA